rnacentral:rRNA from 1 species
ACGGAGGGUGCGAGCGUUGUUCGGAAUCACUGGGCGUAAAGCGCGUGUAGGCGGCCUCUUAAGUCCGAUGUGAAAGCCCGGGGCUCACCCCCGGAAGUGCAUUGGAUACUGAGUGGCUGGAGUACCGGAGAGGAGGGUGGAAUUCCUGGUGUAGCGGUGAAAUGCGUAGAUAUCGAGAGGAACACCAGCGGCGAAGGCGGGUUGCUGGGCUGACACUGACGCUGAUUGUGCGAAAGCUAGGGGAGCGAACGGGA